rnacentral:rRNA from 1 species
CCUANGGGUGGCUGCAGUCGAGAAUUUUUCACAAUGGGCGAAAGCCUGAUGGAGCGACGCCGCGUGGGGGAUGAAGGGCUUCGGCCCGUAAACCCCUGUCAUUUGCGAACAAACCUUUCCGUUUAACAUGCGGGGAGCUGAUUGUAGCGAAAGAGGAAGGGACGGCUAACUCUGUGCCAGCAGCCGCGGUAAUACAGAGGUCCCAAGCGUUGUUCGGAUUCACUGGGCGUAAAGGGUGCGUAGGUGGUCGGGUAAGUCUGGUGUGAAAUCUCCGAGCUUAACUCGGAAAUGGCAUUGGAUACUAUUCGGCUGGAGGGUUGGAGGGGGGACUGGAAUUCUUGGUGUAGCAGUGAAAUGCGUAGAUAUCAAGAGGAACACCAGUGGCGAAGGCGAGUCCCUGGACAACUCCUGACACUGAGGCACGAAAGCUAGGGGAGCAAACAGGAUUAGAUACCCCUNUANUC